CAGAGAUAUAGAUAAGAGAUGAUGGUAUAUGUGAAAACAGAAAAAUAUGCUGGCAAAAGAAAAAAGGAGGCUGGAGGAGAUAAUACAAUCACAGAUUCCUGGAAUGAAUCGAAAUGCAAGUAGAAAAAAGAAGAAGAUGAUUGAUCUGGAUCUCAAUGUUGUUGCAGAUGCCUCUGAAAUGACCGAAUAAAUUGGACUCGUUAUAUAUUAUUAUUAUCAUUAUCAUUAUUAAUAAUAAAACUUAUCAUUUAUGUAAAAUAACCCCGGCCCGGCCCGGUCCGGUCCAACCCGGCCCGACCCCACCGCCCCCCACAGCAUCUUAACAAAAACAGGGUAGAAAAUAAAAAAGUCUGUUAAUUGAUCAAUUAAUGGGAUAUCUCUACCUUGUGUAUUUGGGAAUUGUAAUUUUAUCUCAUAAGAGAUAAUUGCACUACUUAUCCCACAUAACUGUUUCAAUGUUGUUUGAUUUUUUAUUUUAUUUUUUACCCUACUUUAAUAAUGUUAAAGCUUAGUUUUGAUUAUUGAUU